UGAAAAUAGUCUAAUUUUAUUACUGUCAAUUUUAUUUUAAAAUUAAUGAAGAAACGUAAUGGACAAUAAAAAUGUAGAAUCACAAGAUGUUUGUGUGUCACUGGUGCCAGUAGAAUUAGGUCCCGUGAAAUAUAGAAACUGUCCAGUGUUGCACAGAUCUGUGUCACAGUAAACGCAUACCACCUUUGAACUGUUCGGCAUCCGCUCAUGUACUUAGCAAGAACCCAAUGGAAAACAUCCUUUUUCGACGUGUAGACGAUCGGCUAUAAAAUCUGCAGAUGAUAAUGCAAACGAACGUUUGUAAGGAUCGUCAUCAGCAAAUCGGCACCUUCCUGUUUUAAUAGGAUCCCUGCAUUCUCUGCUACAUCUGUAACGAAAAUUACUGGAAGGCGUGAUAUUCUUGGACGGAACGAUUUGAUAAUUUUUGAUGACAAUUUAUUUGUGGAAAUUAAAAAAAUUAACAAGAAAUAAAAGUUGACAGUUCUGCGAGUAA